rnacentral:tRNA from 50 species
GGGGGCGUAGCUCAGUUGGGAGAGCACCUGCCUUGCAAGCAGGGGGUCAGGAGUUCGAAUCUCCUCGUCUCCACCA